rnacentral:tRNA from 1 species
GCCCGGAUGGCGGAACUGGUAGACGCAAGGGACUUAAAAUCCCUCGACGGCAACGUUGUGCCGGUUCGAUCCCGGCUCCGGGCACCA